rnacentral:rRNA from 1 species
AGUGAACGCUGGCGGUAGGCCUAACACAUGCAAGUCGAACGGCAGCACAGUAAGGGCUUGCUCUUACGGGUGGCGGGUGGCGGACGGGUGAGGAAUACAUCGGAAUCUCCUUUUUCGUGGGGGAUACCGUAGGGAAACUUACGCUAAUACCGCAUCGGCCCUAGGGGGGAAAGCGGGGGAUCUUCGUACCUUGCGCGAUUGAAUGAGCCGAUGUCGGAUUAGCUAGUUGGGGGGGUAAAGGCCCACCAAGGCGACGAUCCGUAGCUGGUCUGAGAGGAUGAUCAGCCACACUGGAACUGAGACACGGUCCAGACUCCUACGGGAGGCAGCAGUGGGGAAUAUUGGACAAAGGGCGCAAGCCUGAUCCAGCCAUACCGCGUGGGUGAAGAAGGCCUUCGGGUUGUAAAGCCCUUUUGUUGGGAAAGAAAAGCAGCAGGUUAAUACCCCGCUGUUCUGACGGUACCCAAAGAAUAAGCACCGGCUAACUUCGUG